CCACUGGUAUGCCUCGUAGCGGCGAGUGAGCGGCAGAGCUCAGAUUUGAAAUCGUGCUUUGCGGCACGAGUUGUAGAUUGCAGGUUGGAGUCUGUGUGGAAGGCGGUGUCCAAGUCCCUUGGAACAGGGCGCCCAGGAGGGUGAGAGCCCCGUGGGAUGCCGGCGGAAGCAGUGAGGCCCUUCUGACGAGUCGAGUUGUUUGGGAAUGCAGCUCCAAGCGGGUGGUAAAUUCCAUCUAAGGCUAAAUACUGGCGAGAGACCGAUAGCGAACAAGUACUGUGAAGGAAAGAUGAAAAGCACUUUGAAAAGAGAGUGAAACAGCACGUGAAAUUGUUGAAAGGGAAGGGUAUUGCGCCCGACAUGGGGAUUGCGCACCGCUGCCUCUCGUGGGCGGCGCUCUGGGCUUUCCCUGGGCCAGCAUCGGUUCUUGCUGCAGGAGAAGGGGUUCUGGAACGUGGCUCUUCGGAGUGUUAUAGCCAGGGCCAGAUGCUGCGUGCGGGGACCGAGGACUGCGGCCGUGUAGGUCACGGAUGCUGGCAGAACGGCGCAACACCGCCCGUCUUGACCACGGACCAA
rnacentral:rRNA from 1 species